GGCGCCUCAACUCUCGCGAGACUUGGCCUCCUCUUGGGGACCGCGGGAGGUCUUCGUGCCCCUUGGGCUCCGGGUGUCCACGCUACCGUCCUUCUUACGUCUACGGAGAUUUUUUUUUUUUACUACUCAACCGAAACUUUUUGUAGGACGUCCUCUGGUUUUGCAUCUCUGAGCUGAAAGAAAUGGAGACCCUGGAGAAGCAGAAAUCAGCCGUCUCCCCAGCUCAGGGAAGUGUACCUUACUGCGCCUCCGGGGCACGAAGCCUCCUCUGUGCCUUUCUGAAUGUGUUUUACCUUACGCCCGGCACCAUUAAGUGCUUAAUAAAUGUUUGAAUAAAGGGGGAACGGAGACUUCACCUUGUUGAAAGGUGAACUGAAGCGUAUUAAAGGUUCUGGGAACUAUUUUUUAAGUAGACAUACCAUAAAACAAUGAUUGUUGAAAAGUGCGUUUAUAACCUUUUACGUCUAUUUAAUUUGCUUGUUCUUAACAAUUAGAUUUACUCUUGGAAAUUUCAUGAGACAUUAAACAGCUAAUCAUCAUUUUAAGUUAUCUUUCUUGCUGACAAAUUCUGCAACAGAGAUAACGAGCUUAUUUGACUCUGUAAACCGAGGUAGAAUAAAAGUACUAUAUUUAAUGCUGAGAGCUCCAAAGACUUGCCUCUUCUAAUUAAGUGACAAACUUAAAGUAGGUUUUGUUUACCGAAGAUUAGCCUAGAUCAUGUGAAAUUGAAAAACAUUUGGGUUAGUUUCUAUAUUUCUGUGAGUAUACUUGAUUUAUUUAAUGUUUGUCUUUAAGCCAAUUAAAAUAGAGCUGUUUAUAAAAUUAAUUGUGGCAAUACUAUUGGGAGGUUAAAAAAAUCACACAUCUAUAAUAUACCUAGACAUUAUAAACAUAUAGACAGGUACAAACAGAUCCUUAUAGCUUUCAUUUUAAGAUUUUAGCCAUGAAACAGGUAUGAUAAUGCAAACUCACUAGUUUAUAAAAGAACAUUGGAUCCAAAUUGUGUUCCUGGCAGAUAGAAUAUGUUUACCUGUUAAGAUAGCUUUUAACUAAUCUUUUUGAAAGAGAUUUCUAAGAUUUUUCUUAGGCCUGGAUUUCAAAAUAUCCUCCCCCCACCCCCGCUUCUGAUAAGAAUUACCUUGGUUUCUAGAGAAGACCAGGUAGAAGAGUUAUGUCUCAAAAGGCACAGAGAAAGAAUGCAAGUUCCCCCAAGGACUCGUGUUCUUUAAGUCCAGAUCAUUUACAAAGUCUGCAAGUCUUUUGACAUCUCAUUGGGGAGGUUUGGGGAUUGGUGGGGGGGAAAAAAAAAAAAAGGAUGAGUGUGCUUUGAAUUGUUUCUAGAGCUGCAUUUCUGUUCCUGUAAAGACUUGAUUUGUAAUACAAGUUAGAUGUUUUUAAUUCCUUAAAUAAUUGGGUUGCAACGUGAAUGAUAUUAAGAGACUGACCCACUCAUCCAACUACUUACCCUCAAUUUGCUUCUUUAUAUCAGGGAGAAGAUCUUCCACUAAGAUGAAAAUCAAAAGAUUUCUAUGUUUCAGAUUUUAGAGUUCUGUGUGUUUGGGAUGUUUUAGUAAAUCCUUUCACAAAGGCUUCAGAAUGUUUUUCUUUCCCUCUGGGUACAUAGUUUCAUUUUAGUUUAGAGAAGACCUAAAAAAAAGUUGCUCUUAGGCUCUAAGUAUCAGCUUCCAGUCUGGCCAACUUAUGACUGUAGAGCUACUUUAAUAAAAGAAAAAAAAAUCCUUUCAAAUUAUCUUGUCAGGUAUCAGCUGGGACAGAGAGUAGAUUCCUGGCAGUAUUGAACAAGCCCCUGGAUGCAGAGGUAUCCCCCAAAAGGGUACAAAAGAUCCUACUCUCCCAAGAUCCAGAGUCACCCCCCAAAACAAAGGAAAGACUCAGACAGUUCCCCCCAAGAGCUGGCAACAGUCAAUAUGACCCAAGCCUCAAAUGGGAUGCAGCCCACGUUUCUUCCAGGCCAUAUUCAGGGGCUUGCAACCUGAGAGCUGCCGAGCCAAGUUCUCAGGACACAAACACGCAGGCGUAGCUGUCCCUGGGAAUGAGAGAGUCACCACCAGCGGGCACCUGAAAGCUAAGUCAAGAGUCACAAUUCAAAGAUCUCCUUCUCACAACUGUUUUUUCCUGCCCAUCUGGGUUUGGAAAGGAAGGCACAGCAUGAAAUUGUCGCUUGCUCCUGCAGCAGAGGUCCAGGAGAGCUGACUUUGGUAAGAACCUUUGCCGGCUUCACCAGUUUCCCCGGGAUCCCAUCUGCAGGCUCUGGAGCAAGUUGGGGUGUCCCAGCGGGUCUCAUCCAGGUCCCCAGAAACUGUAGAGGAGAAAAAUAAUGUUCCCUCUACACUGUCUGGUGAGUGCCUAUCUGAGACCCCCUUUUUUCUUCUAGGGCUCCUCCUAACCGGAUACGCUUACCUAGGUGAAAAGUUCUCCACCGUGGCCACUGUAGCUCAGGAUUAUCCUUGAUGAGUUUAACCUGCCUGUUCAGCCUGAAAACAAACUUUGAUUCACCUGAGGCUCCACACGGGACCCAGUCCAGCUCAAGUCAGUCCCAGUCCGACCCCAGACCCAGUCCGGUUUCUGAGUCGGACCCAGCCUGACUCCGACCAGUUUCUGGACCCAGUACGGACAAAGAAGUGCUCACAUGAAGUCUGAAAGCUCACACUAGGAUCCGGGGGGGACUCGCGCAUGACCUCCAGAGCCGGCAGGGCUCAGGGCUCAGCAGGUACCCACGUUUGCUUGCUCUUUGCUCUUGGCCGCGGGGUGUCAGGGGUAUAUCGUACUUCACUCUAUCUUCUGACACUAGAACUGUUAAAAGAUAAACUGAGGCAUGUUAAAUUUUUUAAAAUUGA